rnacentral:tRNA from 1 species
UCCCUCAUAGCUCAGUCGGUAGAGAAUCUGCCUGCAAUUCAGGAAACUCGGGUUCGAGUCCCGGGUUGGGAA